UACAGAGGGUGCAAGCGUUGUUCGGAUUCAUUGGGCGUAAAGGGUGCGUAGGCGGCGCGGUAAGUCGGGUGUGAAAUCUCGGAGCUUAACUCCGAAACUGCAUUCGAUACUGCCGUGCUUGAGGACUGGAGAGGAGACUGGAAUUUACGGUGUAGCGGUGAAAUGCGUAGAUAUCGUAAGGAAGACCAGUGGCGAAAGGCGGGUCUCUGGACAGUUCCUGACGCUGAGGCACGAAGGUCAGGGGAGCAAACGGGA
rnacentral:rRNA from 1 species